AUUGAACGCUGGCGGCAGGCCUAACACAUGCAAGUCGAACGAGUGGCGGACGGGUGAGUAGUGUCUGGGAAACUGACCGAUGGAGGGGGAUAACUACUGGAAACGGUAGCUAAUACCGCAUACCAUCGGAUGUGCCCAGAUGGGAUUAGCUAGGAGGUGGGGUAACGGCGCACCAAGGCGACGAUCCCUAGCUGGUCUGAGAUGCUGACCAGCCACACUGGACAUGAGACACGGUCCAGACUCCUACGGGAGGCAGCAGUGGGGAAUAUUCGACAAUGGGCGCAAGCCUGAUGCAGCCAUGCCGCGUGUAUGAAGAAGGCCUUCGGGUUGUAAAGUACUUUCAGCGGGGAAGCGUUACCCGCAGAAGAAGCACCGGCUAACUCCGUGCCAGCAGCCGCGGUAAUAC
rnacentral:rRNA from 1 species